rnacentral:rRNA from 1 species
GACGAGCGCUGGCGGCGUGCUUAACACAUGCAAGUCGAACGGAAAGGCCUGCUUUUGUGGGGUGCUCGAGUGGCGAACGGGUGAGUAACACGUGAGUAACCUGCCCUUGACUUUGGGAUAACUUCAGGAAACUGGGGCUAAUACCGGAUAGGAGCUCCUGCUGCCUGGUGGGGGUUGGAAAGUUUCGGCGGUUGGGGAUGGACUCGCGGCUUAUCAGCUUGUUGGUGGGGUAGUGGCUUACCAAGGCUUUGACGGGUAGCCGGCCUGAGAGGGUGACCGGCCACAUUGGGACUGAGAUACGGCCCAGACUCCUACGGGAGGCAGCAGUGGGGAAUAUUGCACAAUGGGCGGAAGCCUGAUGCAGCAACGCCGCGUGCGGGAUGACGGCCUUCGGGUUGUAAACCGCUUUCGCCUGUGACGAAGCGUGAGUGACGGUAAUGGGUAAAGAAGCACCGGCUAACUACGUG